rnacentral:tRNA from 1 species
UGGGAUGUAGCUCCAACUGCAGAGUACUUGCCUGGUGAGCAUGAAGCCCUGGGGUCAAUCCCCAGCACCACAU